GGCCAAAAUAGAAGGCUCCCUCUGUCAUCCCCUCUACAAGAACACCAAAUUUAACAACAAUCUACACACAAAAAAGUACAUUCAUAAGAACUAAAAAUCAGGAGAUGUCUCAACUAAGAAUUUUAAAAGAAACUAUGAUUUCUCCCCUACAAUUUUUCAAUGCAGCCUGGAAAAGCAGAGAUAAUUCACUUGUUCUGGGACCUAUAGAGGGAAUCCUGAAAGAGAACUGGCAAAAGUCCACAGAAAAAGUUGCUAUCCCUGAGGUCACAUGAGGAAACCUAAGGAAGAUUUCUAACGACACUAGGACCUCUUGAGAAAAACAGAAAAGAUGCCAAAGAAAAACAGAGAGGUUUCCUUUUUUUGGGAAGGAAACUUCAUUAUUUUCUCAUGGAACAGCAAUAUUUCUAAGUGGACAGAUUCCUUGCAACUCCAAGAGUUGAAAGUAGACAAAUCUAAAGCUCUCUGCUCUUUUGUAUUAAACUCCUUGAUCUCUUUGGCUUUUAGAUGCAUAUAUAUGUGCAUAUGUAUUUUAUAUGUUGUAUUUACAUGUAUGUAUAUGUCUAUACACAUAUUUGUAUAUUGUCUACAUGGUACCAAAUUAACUCAAAGGCAGAUAAGUACCCAUAAAGAAAAUAAAUAGCCCAAAUAUUUUUCAAGCUCAUGUGAUGUGAAUACAUUUUUUUUGAUGAAUAAGACUAGUUUAAAAUUCUUGGUUUAAUAAAAAGAACUAUGUCUUGAGCUAUUAGCAAAACAUACAUGUGUUUAAUUUUUUUUGUUGUUGUUUUUUGAGACGGAGUCUUGCUCUGUUGCCCAGGCUGGGGUGCAGUGGCGCAAUCUCGGCUCACUGCAAGCUCUGCCUCCCAGGUUCACGCCAUUUUCCUGCCCCAGCCUCCCAAGUAGCUGGGACUACAGGCGCCUGCCACCACGCCCGGCUAAUUUUUUUUUUCUUUUUUUUUUUUGUAUUUUUAGUAGAGAUGGGGUUUCAUCGUGUUAGCCAGGAUGGUCUCGAUCGCCUAACCUCGUGAUUCUCCCACCUCGGCCUCCCAAAGUGCUGGGAUUACAGGCGUGAGCCACUGCAUCCAGCCACAUGUGUUUAAUUUUAAGGUUCUUUAUUUUAUGGUACUUGCCUAACAUAUGGUAAUAUAAAAAUGGUGAAUAGAAAAUUUAACUUGAGAUGAUGGCUAGAUUUAUCUAAUGUCUCAUAAAAUUUUCCAACCAUAAUUGUUAAGAUUAAAUAAAUAAAAUAGAUGAAAGUGAGAUAAAGCUUAUAAAUGAAGUUUUAAUCAUUGCUUUUAUGUUUAAUGAAAAAUAUUUCUCAAUUCUUUAUGGUAACAAUAACCUAAACAUUUUGCUCAGCUAAGUUAAAUGAUAGAUAGUCAUUAAAUAUAUACAUCAUUUUCAAAAAAGAUGAAAUGCUAAGACACUGAUUACUAAAUCUAGGCUUCUUAUUUCAGAAAGACAAAAGAUCUUUAGAUAUAUUAGUAAAUAUAUUCUGUUCCACGUUGAAAAAUAAUUCCAUUAAAAAGCUGUAUUUCUAAAAAUCAUAAAAUGUGUAUUAAUAAAUUGCUAGUACAUGACUGACAAUUAAAAAUUAUCCACUUCUUAGGUAUUCACUAUAAAGAUUCCUAAAAAUUAAAAUUCUGGCUAAUAUGUGGUCACUAAAAGUUGCAAUAAAAAGGGAAACAAUUCUGUAUACAGAAUAUAUAAUAAAUGUAAGACUUUUUCAUAAAGGAGAUUAUGACAUUUGAAACUAUGUUUUUGUUAAAAAAGUGAUUUUUUUCUAGUUUAUAUGUCACUUUAGAAUAAAUGAAGAAAGGAAGCAAUUAAAUAAACUAAGUGGAUAUAGAAGUUGGAGAAAAAGGAAAAUUGAAAAACAUUAUAAGACAUAGUAAAAGGUUUAGAGAAAUCUUGUGUGGUCAAAACUAAUUAAGAUUGGAUGGAUUUAUUUAUAAGGUUUUAUUGAAAUUAUAUUUAGUAUGAAUAAUACAACUGAUACAAAGAUAGAAUUUGAUUUUCUCUUUUGAAUACGAUUUUUUUGUAUAUUAUUAAUAAGAGAUAAUAGAAGACUUUGGUUUUCCUUUUGAGAAAACUACAAAAAAAAAUAAAAACAGAGAGAAAUGUUUGUUUCACCCUAUCUUUAUUAGGUCUUUUUUUCAAAAAACUCUGUCUCCUACCAAUCAGAGAGUAAAGGUUUUUACUUUUUGGAAUCUGUUAAUUAUCACUUUGACUAAAUAAAUGAUGAUUAUUUCACAGUGACCUGUGAUCCUAUUGUGAUAAAGUGUUUUGUACCUUUGACACAUUUGACAAGCUUCUCAAAAUCAGAUUUCAAAUUCUAAAUUAAGUCUUUUUGACCUCAAACUAACUUUUAGACAUUCAAAAAAAGAGACAGAAGUCCAAAAGAGACAUAUUAGGCUUAUUUGAUAUCUUAAAUUAUAGGGGAAGCAUUGUCAAAUAAAAAAUAAUGUUUAACCUUAUUUGUGUUAUAUUUAUAUAAAUGUGUUAUUAAUAUGUGCUCCAAAAUUGUAUGAGAUUUUUAAAAAUUAUGAUACGUCUUGGUAUAUGUUACCAGUCAAAAUUCUGAUUAUUAUAUUAAAUUGUUGUAUGCCUUAGAAAUUACCAAAUUUCCUUGUCAAUUGCAUCCUUAGCCAUAGCUAUUCUAAGGGUUUUGUCAUCCACAGGCAUUUAUUGUUUUACUUUUAUUCUUCUCAAAAGACUGUUUACAAUUGGCUAUAGUAUAAAAUUUGCUUCUUAUUCAAGAAAAUUAAUGGAAAAGGAUCAUGACAAAUACUUUUAAAUAUAGAUUUCUGAUAACUUUGUAGAUCAUACCAUUGGACUGUGUAAAAAUUUUAAGAACUCAAAUGAAAACAUUGAUGGGUUCAUAAAGAUUACUAGCCCAACUUUUAGAAGAACAUGACUUAAUCACAUAGGACUAAACUUGAUACAGGAAUAAAAUGAUUUUUUCAGGACUUCCUUUUGCUUAAAUUAUUAUUGAUUAUUUUUAUGUAUUUCUUUCUGGAGUCAAGGAAACUAUUUUCUUCUAAUAAGCUACAUAUAGCAUGC
rnacentral:lncRNA from 10 species